UCCGGUAUGGUGUAACGGCUAACAUUGCCGCCUUUCAGUUUAUUUGUCGCGGCAGCUCGGGGUUCGAUUCCCCGUACCGGAA
rfam:Termitomyces sp. J132 unplaced genomic scaffold scaffold52, whole genome shotgun sequence.